UGCGGUUAAAAAGCUCGUAGUUGGAUCUGUGUCCCGCGCCGCCGGUUCACCGCCUGUCGGUGUUAAACUGGCGUGUAUGCGGGACGUCCUGUCGGUGGCGGUCCGGGGCUUCGUCGACCGUAGGGGCCAUCCCGGUUUCCGGCGUUGCCCCGAAGGUCUUCGUAUGUUUCCGGCCGCCUUUUCAAUCCCGCCGCGGUGCUCUUCACCGAGUGUCGAGGCGGGCCGGCACGUUUACUUUGAACAAAUUAGAGUGCUUUAAGCAGGCUCUUCUCUGCCUGCAUACAGUGUGCAUGGAAUAAUGGAAUAGGACCUCGGUUCUAUUUUGUUGGUUUUCGGAAUCUGAGGUAAUGAUCAAUGGGGACAGGCGGGGGCAUUCGUAUUGCGACGUUAGAGGUGAAAUUCUUGGAUCGUCGCAAGACGGACCGAAGCGAAAGCAUUUGCCAAGUAUGUUCCCGUCGAUCAAGAACGAAAGUUAGAGGUUCGAAGGCGAUCAGAUACCGCCCUAGUUCUAACCAUAAACUAUGCCUGCCAGCGAUCCGCCGGCGUUCCUCCGAUGACCCGGCGGGCAGCUUCCGGGAAACCAGAGCUUUUGGGUUCCGGGGGAAGUAUGGUUGCAAAGCUGAAACUUAAAGGAAUUGACGGAAGGGCACCACCAGGAGUGGAGCCUGCGGCUUAAUUUGACUCAACACGGGAAAACUCACCAGGCCCGGACACCGGAAGGAUUGACAGAUUGAGAGCUCUUUCUUGAUUCGGUGGGUGGUGGUGCAUGGGCG
rnacentral:rRNA from 1 species